UACAGAGGUCCCAAGCGUUGUUCGGAUUUAUUGGGCGUAAAGGGUGCGUAGGCGGCGGAGUAAGUUGGGUGUGAAAUCCCGAGGCUCAACCUCGGAAUGGCAUUCAAUACCGCUUCGCUAGAGUACUGGAGAGGAGGCUGGAAUUUACGGUGUAGCAGUGAAAUGCGUAGAUAUCGUAAGGAAGGCCGGUGGCGAAAGCGAGCCUCUGGACAGUUACUGACGCUGAUGCACGAAGGCCAGGGGAGCAAUCGGG
rnacentral:rRNA from 1 species